UACAGAGGUCUCAAGCGUUGUUCGGAUUCAUUGGGCGUAAAGGGUGCGUAGGUGGCGAGGCAAGUCAGAUGUGAAAUCCCGGGGCUCAACCCCGGAACUGCAUUUGAAACUGCCUUGCUCGAGUACUGGAGAGGGGACUGGAAUUUACGGUGUAGCAGUGAAAUGCGUAGAUAUCGUAAGGAAGACCAGUGGCGAAGGCGAGUCUCUGGACAGUUACUGACACUGAGGCACGAAGGCCAGGGGAGCAAACGGG
rnacentral:rRNA from 1 species